AGACUAUAAACCAGUUUCUGAAUCUCAUAAUAAGAAUCAGCAGACACACUGUCUUCCGGCAAAUACUCUUUAAACAAGUCCGCCCAUUCGUUCAUGCAACUUUCAGGUAGAUUGUGAUCAGUUUUAAUAUUCAUCAUUCUAGCGGCUAACGACAAUUUAGAGAGACCUUCUCUACAACCACUGUAAAGUGGUUGAUUCGCCGCGUUUAACAUUUCGUAAAACUUUUUUGCAUCUAUAUUAAGUUCUUCAUCUUCAUCAUGAGCUACGAAUGCAUCAGCUACCAUAUCAUGAACCCUAUCAUAAUCUAUCAUCUCCUCCUGAUGAUAACUAUGUUCAUUAUGCAAACGAUGAUCAACCGGUUCUUUUUCCUGAAAAUUGCUAUUAUUACUACUAGCUUCAUUCUGAUCAUAAUUAAAACCUUCUCCAUGUUGAAACCAGAUAUAGUAAUUUGGCGUGAAACCUCUAUUUAUAAAUGCUUCCAAACAUUUUCACGGUUUGCCAGUUUCGAAUUGUUGCAUUUCUGACAAGGACAGGACAUCUUACCACUUUCUUGAGCGAGCGGUACGUGUUGAAUCUGCUUGAUGCAUAAAUGUCUCCAGGCCGGCAAGGUAUUCUUUCGUCACUCUC
rnacentral:lncRNA from 1 species